UUACUGAGGGGGAUUGUAGUCGUAAAACUAGUGUCACUAGUUACCUUACGGAGAGCACAGUGUUUGAAGACCCUGCUAUCAAGUACGACAAUAUGGGGGACGUAUCCCCCACCACCAUUGAAAACUACCUCAUGCCCUUCAAAGGGAAGUACAACACAGAUUGGCAGGGUCUGUGCGUCACGGACCUUGAGGAACCUGAACUGGAUAUCAAGAACCUGAAUGAAAGUGAAGGAGGGGACAGUCUUGCUCCUACUGACAUCGUCAUGUCCCCUUCAGAGUGCUCUGUCAGCAGAUCGGUGAUCAACAUCUCCCUGAG